UACGUAGGGUGCAAGCGUUAAUCGGAAUUACUGGGCGUAAAGCGUGCGCAGGCGGUUUUGUAAGUUUGUCGUGAAAUCCCCGGCUCAACCUGGAAUGGCGAUGAAGACUGCAAGGCUAGAGUUUGGCAGAGGGGGGUAGAAUUCCACGUGUAGCAGUGAAAUGCGUAGAUAUGUGGAGGAACACCGAUGGCGAAGGCAGCCCCCUGGGUCAAAACUGACGCUCAUGCACGAAAGCGUGGGGGAGCAAACAGG
rnacentral:rRNA from 1 species